rnacentral:rRNA from 1 species
CACGUAAGUUGCGAGCGUUGUUCGGAAUUAUUGGGCGUAAAGGGCAUGUAGGCGGUUAUGCAAGUCUGGUGUGAAAUGCCGGGGCUUAACCCCGGAACUGCGUUGGAAACUGCAUGACUUGAGCCGCUGAGGGGCAGCCAGAAUUCCAGGUGUAGGGGUGAAACCUGUAGAUAUCUGGAAGAAUACCAAUGGCGUAGGCAGGCUGCCAGCAGAUGGCUGACGCUGAGGUGCGAAGGUGCGGGGAGCAAAC